rnacentral:rRNA from 1 species
UACGAGUGCGUCGAGCGUUAUCCGGAAUCAUUGGGCGUAAAGGGUGUGUAGGUGGCGAUGUUAGUCUCGCGUUAAAUUCCUCGGCUCAACCGGGGCGCUGCGUGGGGAAACGGCAUUGCUUGAGGUUGGUAGGGGUCUCUGGAACUCUAAGUGUAGCGGUGAAAUGCGUUGAUUAUUUAGGGGAACACCAAAAGGCGAAAGGCAGGAGACUGGACCAAAUCUGACACUGAAACACGAAAGCGUGGGUAGCGAAGUGGG